UACAGAGGGUGCGAGCGUUAAUCGGAAUUACUGGGCGUAAAGCGUGCGCAGGCGGCUUUGCAAGACAGAUGUGAAAUCCCCGGGCUCAACCUGGGAACUGCAUUUGUGACUGCAUGGCUGGAGUGCGGCAGAGGGGGAUGGAAUUCCGCGUGUAGCAGUGAAAUGCGUAGAUAUGCGGAGGAACACCGAUGGCGAAGGCAAUCCCCUGGGCCUGCACUGACGCUCAUGCACGAAAGCGUGGGGAGCAAACAGG
rnacentral:rRNA from 1 species